GGCAGUUUGAUUCUGGCCUGUAGAUUGAACGCUGGCGGGAUGCUUUACACAUGCAAGUCGAACGGCAGCACGGACUUCGGUCUGCGGCGAGUGGCGAACGGGUGAGUAAUGUAUCGGAACGUCGAAGAAGCGGGGGUGAUAAACUGCUGCGAAAGCGUAGCCAAUACCGCAUACGCCCUUCGGGGGAAAGCGGGGACCUUUCGGGCCUGCACUAGAGCGGCCGAUACUGAUUAGCUAUUGGUGCAGCAACGGCUCACCAAGGCGACGAUCCGUAGCUGGUCGGAGAUGACGACCAGCCACACUGGGACCGGACACGGCCCCAGACUCCUACGAGGCAGCAGUGGGGAAUUUUGGACAAUGGGAAAACCCCUGAUCCAAGUCGCAUAAUUCCGCGUGUGAUGUCAAGGCCUUCGGGUUGUAAAGCACUUUUGGCAGGAAAGAAACGGCACGGGAUAACUGCAUAACUGACAUUAUGCCUGGGCAGAAUAAGCACCGGCUAACUACGCGCCAGCAGCCGCGGUAAUACGUAGGGUGCAAGCGUUAAUCGGAAAUUAUCAGCGCUGCGCAGGCGGUUCGAAAGAAAGAUGAAACCCGUAUUUAACUUUGGAACUGCAUUUUUAACUACCGAGCUGAGCGUGUCAGGAGGGAGGUGAAUUCCGCGUGUAGCAGUGAAAUGCGCAUGCGUGGAGGAACACUGAUGGCGAAGGCAGCCUCCUGGGACACUGACGCUCAUACACGCCAGCGUGGGGAGCAACAGGAUUAGAUACCCUGGUAGUCCACCCCAAACGAUGUCAACUAGCUGUUGGGGCCUUCGCCUUGGUAGCGCAGCUAACGUAUGCGGUUGACCGCCUUGGGGAGAAAGCCGGUCGCAAGAUUAAAACUCAAAGGAAUUGACGGGGACCCGCACAAGCGGUGGAUGAUGUGGAUUAAUUCGAUGCAACGCGAAAAACUCACCUACCCUUUGACAUGUCUGAACCUGAAGACGGGAGUGCUCGCAAGAGAACCGGAACACAGGUGCUGCAUGGCUGUCGUCAGCUCGUGCUGAGGAUGUCAUUAAAUCCGGCAACGAUGCAACCUGCUGUUGCUGCUACGAAAGGGCACUCUAUCAGACUGCCGGUGACAAACCGAGGAAGGUGGGGAUGACGUCAAGUCCUCAUGGCCCUUAUGUAAGGGUCACACGUCAUACAAUGGUCGGGACAGAGGGUCGCCAACCCGCGAGGGGGAGCCAAUCCCAGAAACCCGAUCGUAGUCCGGAUCGCAGUCUGCACCGACCGCGAAGUCGGAAUCGCUAUAAUCGCGGAUCAGCAUGUCGCGGUGAAUACGUUCCCGGGUCUUGUACACACCGCCCGUCACACCAUGGGAGUGGGUUUUACCAGAAGUAGUUAGCCUAACCGUAAGGAGGGCGAUUACCACAGAGAUUCACGAUCUGGGGCAGUCGUAACAAGGUAG
rnacentral:rRNA from 1 species